GGCCAGGUAGCUCAGUUGGUAGAGCAGGGGACUGAAAAUCCCCGUGUCGGCGGUUCGAUUCCGUCCCUGGCCACCU
rnacentral:tRNA from 1 species